GGACCGCGGGUUUAUUAACUAAAACCGAAGGGGCAUUUUUGCAAAAUUGCCAUCGGCGCUUUAUUAUUCGGGAAGAUUGUAAACAACCUUAGGUCGCGUUUGGUUCGUCGUUUCUUCACGUAUUAAAUCUAACUUACACAUCCAUAACUAUUUUCAGACAAAAAGUGAGGUCGGUAUUUUUCAUACCAGUAUAAUUUAGCAGCAAAACGACAAUCAAACAGGGCCUUAGCCGCCCUGAUUUUUUUUCUUCAAUACUGUUAGUACUACAAUAUAGCAGGAUCGAGCAACCCCGCCCGAGCCACCUUCGUGCACACAGCGUGCCCAUCCUCUUGGUAGCAGUCCAAAUCAAGUGGCCAGUGAAUCCCGAGAAACUGCGCCGCACGUAAACAAGAGGAUGCGCGGAUCUCGUGGCCCAUCCGCAACAAUAAUUCAUCGACAUGACGCCAACGGUUGCAGGGGGCAGCGGGGCGGCGACCUGUCAGUCACUGCUCAACUAGAGAUAGAAGAUAGAUCCAUCCAUCCAACAAUAUGUGAGCACGCGUAGACGUCUACGCGUGCUCACAUAUUGUUGGAUGGAUGGAUCUAUCUUCUAUCUCUAGUUGAGCAGUGACUGACAGGUCGCCGCCCCGCUGCCCCCUGCAACCGUUGGCGUCAUGUCGAUGAAUUAUUGUUGCGGAUGGGCCACGAGAUCCGCGCAUCCUCUUGUUUACGUGCGGCGCAGUUUCUCGGGAUUCACUGGCCACUUGAUUUGGACUGCUACCAAGAGGAUGGGCACGCUGUGUGCACGAAGGUGGCUCGGGCGGGGUUGCUCGAUCCUGCUAUAUUGUAGUACUAACAGUAUUGAAGAAAAAAAAUCAGGGCGGCUAAGGCCCUGUUUGAUUGUCGUUUUGCUGCUAAAUUAUACUGGUAUGAAAAAUACCGACCUCACUUUUUGUCUGAAAAUAGUUAUGGAUGUGUAAGUUAAAUUUAAUACGUGAAGGUACGACGAACCAAACGCGACCUAAGGUUGUUUACAAUCUUCCCGAAUAAUAAAGCGCCGAUG
rnacentral:lncRNA from 1 species